GGGGAUGUAGCUCAGCGGCAGAGCGCAUAUUUUGCAUUUGUGAGGUCCCGGGUUCGAUUCCCGGCAUCUCCA